rnacentral:rRNA from 1 species
UAGGAAAUUUAAAGGGCGUAUGGUGGAUGCCUUGGCUAGAAAAAGCGAUGAAGGACGUGGCGUGGCGGCGAUACGCUUCGGGGAGGUGCCGAGCAACCUUUGAUCCGAAGAUGUCCGAAUGGGGAAACCCCUUCAGGUAAAACCUGGAGACCUGCUUAGAUUUUUGUGUUCAAAAAAGAAAAAGGCCCACGGGGGCCUUAGUGAAAACUUCAAGGGUGACUUCCAAGAACUUGUCGAAGCGGAAGGCUUCAGAAAGUCUUAGGGUAAGAAACCUUGUAAAUCUUCACUAGAUAUAGUAUCAAAUUAUAUUCUUUUUGUCAAGAACCCAAAAAUCUAAGCAGGAGCGUACCCUGGGAAGUAAAACAUUUCAGUACCAGGUGGAAAAUAAACAAACAUGCAUUCCGUCAGUAGCGGCGAGCGAACGCGGAGAAGACUAAACCCUACUUCGCUCAUUGCUACGCAUGAGCUACGAAGGGCAGGCCCUAAAUAAAGGAACUUGCCCUUCGAAGCUCGUUACGUAGUAACGAGCGGAGUAGGGGGUUGCGAGGUUGAGACGUGCUAUUCUAUUUAUUUAGAAUUGGCAGAGAAGUUAUCAAAUUUUUUAUUAGCUUGACGAGCUGGAAAGCUCGACCCUAGCGGGUGAUAGUCCCAUAAGCGAAAAUAAAAGAUCUUCUUUGUCUUGAUUCUCAAGUACACCGGGACACGAAAAGCUCGGUGGAAUCCGCCAGAACUAACUGGCAAGUCUAGACCGAUAGUGAACAAGUACCGUGAGGGAAAGGUGAAAAGCAGCCCGGAAGGGCGGUGAAAUAGAUCUGAAACCAUAUGCCUACAAGGAGUCGGAGCGGACAACACAAAUUAAAUAAUUCUACAAAGGAACCAUUUAACAAUUAUUAAUAGUUCAAUUGUUGAAUAGUUAAAUUGUUUAAUUUGUGUUGUCCGUGACGGCGUGCCUAUUGAAGAAUGAGCCAACGAGUUUUAGCAAGCUGCUCGACUAAGUCCGCGAGGACGGAGUCACAGGGAAACCGAGUCUGAACAGGGCGCUCGUAGUUUGCUAAAGACCCGAAGCCAGAUGAGCUUGCCACGCGCAGGGUGAAGUUCUCCGAAAGGAGGAUGGAGGCCCGAACCGGUUAGCCGUGCAAAACUAUCGGAUG